CUACGGGGGGCAGCAGUGAGGAAUUUUGCACAAUGGGGGAAACCCUGACGCAGCAACGCCGCGUGAGUGAUGAAGGCUUUCGGGUCGUAAAGCUCUGUCAAGUGGGAAGAACUCCCGUGAGGUUAAUACCCUCAUGGUUUGACGGUACCACUGAAGGAAGCACCGGCUAACUCCGUGCCAGCAGCCGCGGUAAUACGGGGGGUGCAAGCGUUAUUCGGAUUUACUGGGCGUAAAGCGCGCGUAGGCGGCCGUUUAAGUCAGAUGUGAAAGCCCGGGGCUCAACCCCGGAAGUGCAUUUGACACUAUUCGGCUUGAGUAUGGGAGAGGGAAGUGGAAUUCCUGGUGUAGAGGUGAAAUUCGUAGAUAUCAGGAGGAACACCGGUGGCGAAGGCGACUUCCUGGACCAAUACUGACGCUGAGGCGCGAAGGCGUGGGUAGCAAACAGGAUUAGAUACCCCAGUAGUC
rnacentral:rRNA from 1 species